GCUGAGCCCUCUCAUAGGGGAUCUUGGCAAGUGUCUCCUUCGCAAGCUCAUUGCCUCCCAGCUUUCUUAGUGAGAGAGAUCCAUCUGGGGCACCUGCUGCAAAAGCAGCCUUCCCCUGUGGCACAACUGCCAAGCACCCUGUUGUCUCUCCAGGUCUGCCCUCCAGACAAUCUAACAUGGAGGUUAAUGUGGGGCAUGGGACUUAGGCAUAAGGAUUAUGCUUUGUUUUGGGAAGCCACUCUCCACUGAGACUCAGCUCUAACCCUAAGGUUUCUUUAGUAUGGCAGAGCAACAGGGAUGCCUCUCUGCAUUGACAGGAUUAGCAGACUAGAGGCAGCCAUUUCAUACUGCAGCUAACAGAAAGGCGAUAUAUACACACUUACAGAUAUAUAUACAAUUUUUCAGUGUCAUGGUCUCAGACAGUAGGACCCAGGAGCCACAGUCAACACUCACGUUCCUGUAGACCAUGUCACUUUCUUGCAGAUCAGCCUCAUCACUGAUACGCAUGGCAGGCUCACUGCCCAAUGCAGCCCCACAGCCCAUCUGCAACUGUUCGCAAUGUUCACCUCCAGGGACCAUCUUUUGGAAACAGCUGUUUUAUGGCAUACUCACAUGCACACAGGCUCCUGGCAGGAAUUAAGCCCUCUGUAUACACAGAAAUUGCUUAAUUUGUCUCUGAAAUGCAGAUACCUCUAUGGUGUAAUGCUACAGCUAUUUAACUACAUAAUGGGCUGCUCAGGACAGACAGUAUAAAACUGAAAUUGAAAUGAAAACUUGCCCAAAAGAGAAUUUGGCCAGCAUAUUUAGGCUGAUUCAGCUCCUUUUAAUGAAAUAAAAUUCUAAUGGCUGCAAGAGGCCAUGGCACUCAUUAUAUCUAAAAACCAUAUUCCAGAUCCCUUAUCAUUAAAUGCAAACAGCAUAUUGCAAAUGAGGAUCACAGAAGAAGACUCCAUGUUCAUAGGCCCACCUUUCCACACAUGGGUGUUUCUCUCGUUGCCUUUCAUUGCUGAAACAGAACUGGGCUUUUAAAGUCAGAUGGUAGAUAAUGUAAAUCAGUAUGUCUGCACGGCUUGCUCUUUAACUGAGCAAACACAAAACAGUUUUCAUGAGCUGGCAAUUUAAUUCUCUAUUUUAUUAAGGCCAAAUCAUUAUUUUUCUAAAUCGGUUCUGUUGGACAGGAUUUUUUACUUCUCUACUACAAAACCAUGAAUAUUUUCACCUAAACUUAAAUGAGGGGGAGGUUUAUUUGAAGAUAUGGUCAUUAUUCACCAACACAGCCCAUCGGUGAGGAUUUUCCUUCUUCCCUUACUCUUGUUUCAUACAACACACCAUUUCCCAUUCCUAAAGCUGAACUGUCAUACAGGUUUCUUAUUUGUGAGAUGAGAUAAAUUAUUGCAGAGCUUCAGGCUAAGUUCUGAUGUCAGUUGUAUUAGAAUCAAUGCUAAGAAAAUGAAAUCAGAAAAAAAUGACAGAUUUGGAUCAGUAAAACUGAUAUUAAUAUCUGACUCAGCAAGUCCUGCUGUGGUAGAAAGGACUCACUGUUUGAAUUAGCAAGUGUGUAAUUAUUUUGUAGGAUAUAGUUCUUCCAUUCAGGUAGGUCACAAUCAAGCAGAGGGCUUGGUAGUAGGUUCAAGUGUCUGACGAUAGUCCUCACAAAGAAAUACUAGCUUUGUUUGUAGUUACUUGUGGAAUCCACAUGCUCAUAUCCAUGCUUUGAUUGACCCUUUGGAGGUUUUAUAGUAUGGCCAUCUCAUUUUAAAAGGGCUCAGCAUGUAUGUAUUCUUUAGUUCAAUUUAGAUAUUGAUUUCCUGAAUGAAGAGAAUUUCCCUUUUGAGUAGCCUGACUUAUACUGCUCUAGAACUGUUCUUUCCUGAAGAAAAGCCACUAUGACUGUGCAGAAUUUUCUGUACAGAGACAAAACUCAUAUUUUCAUUUACCAUGUGACAUGCCAAAAUAAUCAAGUGUGGCCUAAGGACUAAAUUAAAUGCCUCCUAUAGAAUUUCAAGGAAUGUUAGAACCAGGAAACUAGCUGUUUAGUUAUCAUUAAAAGUAUAUAUAAAUAUAUAUAAAAAUAUAUAUACAUAAGAAAUCAUAUCAACAAUGAGGAUGAACUGAGUGCCAAAUAUUCACCAUCUGUAUAAAGCUACACUUCACUAGAAUUAAACUAUUUUAUGUAAUUCUCUUUCUCAUGCUUUUAUGGUUCUUUUGAUAAAUUCUAUUUAGUAGCAUGCAGGAUACCUAAAUUGAAUGUACAGUAUGUUGUUUCAUUGCUACAAUAAUUUCUCGCUUCUCAGUAAUAUCUUCUUUACCAGAAUGUUAUUUGUUACUUUGAAGACAUAUUUGAGAAUUGGUUUAUUAUUGAGUUAUUCUUUUUCAUGGUUCUCUACUCACCUCCAGCUGAUUGUAAGAAAAUGUGCUUCACUAUUUUGCCCCAUGGCUCUUUUAUGAAGCCGCCUCUUUCAAUUGGUUUAUGUAUUGUUUAUGUUCAUCUCCUGUAAAUAAUUCUGCAAUUAAAUUUU
ensembl:lncRNA